GGGUGAGUAACACGUGGAUAACCUACCUAUAAGACUGGGAUAACUACGGGAAACCGGAGCUAAUACCGGAUAAUAUAUUGAACCGCAUGGUUCAAUAGUGAAAGACGGUUUUGCUGUCACUUAUAGAUGGAUCCGCGCCGCAUUAGCUAGUUGGUAAGGUAACGGCUUACCAAGGCAACGAUGCGUAGCCGACCUGAGAGGGUGAUCGGCCACACUGGAACUGAGACACGGUCCAG
rnacentral:rRNA from 1 species